rnacentral:lncRNA from 1 species
GAUUAAAGGUGUGCGCCACCACACCCGGCUAAAUGAACAUUUUGUUUUAUUUUGUUUUGUUUUUUUUUUUUUUAAGAUUUAUUUAUUAUUAUAUGUAAAUACACUGUAGCUGUCUUCAGACACGCCAGAAGAGGGAGUCAGAUCUUGUUACGGAUGGUUGUGAGCCACCAUGUGGUUGCUGGGACUUGAACUCGGGACCUUCAGAAGAGCAGUCAGCUGCUCUUACACACUGAGCCAUCUCACCAGCCCCCCCUCCUUGGUUUUAUACAUGCAGAAGGUGAAUGGCAUCUGUGUUGGAUCCCACAGCUUGCAGCUCUGAUGAUGCUCUCCACCCCGCUUCUCCCACUCCUCAGGCUCUGAUGACACAAGCUACUUACACUUGUGGCUUGGAGCAGGGCUCCCCUGAGGUCCCAUCCUUGUUCCACAUCAGUGACUGGCCAAGGCAGACAGUUCCAGAGUUCCUCAAGCAAGGCGCCUGUGUUGGCUGCACUGCUGUGUUCCACUGUCACUACAGGCAACAGUGGCCUCCCUCUAGCCUGCAAAACAUUUGAAGCCAUAUCUGGAGAGGCAGCCUUUGAGUCUGGGUGGGAUGUGGGCCUUCUAACUCAAACAUCCUGUGCUCAUGGAGUCCUCAAGGGCCUAAUGGGAAGCCUUUCUGGCUGCCUAGCAGCCCCAGGACAUCCUGUUUCUCCCAGAGACAAGGACUCUGGCCUACAGCUGAUAGAAACUGCUGUUCCAUACCUGACUCCCACCUCUCUAAGGUGGACUGUGCCGCUCCUGCCUCUGGCAGCUUAAUCUCAGCAGCUACUGUGGGCUGGACGUUGAGGUCCCUGAGGGUCUUUCUACUGCUUUCCCAUGCUUCAUCUCACCCCAGCCUUUCAGGCCUCCCUCUGUAAGUAUCUUGUCCACUAAAGACCUCAGGGGUGCUGUCAGGCCAUUGGUGCCAUUGGGGUCACCUUAUGCUAACGUAGAGUCAGCCCUGGGUGCUGUAUUGAACUGACUGGUAAAACCAAGAGUAGAACCCCACCUAAAUUCCUCCAGGGGCUUUGUUUGCCCUGGCUCAGUAGUAAAUCCCCUGCUUAGGAAUACCCCACCCCCACCCCCAAGUGAGGAACUAGGCAUGCACAAAGCCUUAUGCUCCAUCUAUACAUCCCUCCCAAGAGAUUACAAGUGCUAUGUGAAACUAACUCCCAUGUCAGCCCUUUGGCUUUAAGGGCCUUCCAGGUAAGCUAUGUCUCGGAGUCACCAUUUGAUAGAUAAACUGGGAAAUAUAGUGAGGGAAUGAAGGCACACCUAUGCUGUCUUUACCUUUGCUAUGCCUACAAUUUUCUCUGGGCCUCCUUCUCCCCAUUCAUUGUCUCAACCCACUGUGUUGAGUUGGGUGCUUUGUGUUACCCCACCCUACAGCUUGCCCACAGGCAGAAGGUAUGUUCAUCCUCGUGACAACACUCGAGGCUGUGACUGGUUUGAUUUUUCUAGACAGUUUUAAGUUUGCUCAGACUGACUCCAGAGCUACUCUGGCCUUUGGCCAUGAUGGCGGGUUCUGGGAGUCCUUUCCUAGGUAAGGGCUGCCUGGAGUGCAGCCUAUUCCAGCUCUUCCAUACCCACUGGGAAGAGUUCUGUUGGGUGUGCUGUUGGCUCUGGGAGAAGCGUGCGUGGAGGAGCUGAGCUGCCAUGAUCUCCCAUGUAUCAGGGUCCAAGUCAGGUCACAUAGUAGCCAGCGCUUAUGCCUGGUUAUCUUCUAUGUACAGGGUAGCAAUUCCACCAACUCAGGAGGGUGUGUCAGACCUAUCUUCCCUGUGCACUGUGACCUUCCUUGGGUCAGUCACUCAGAACACAGGCACACCUUUGUCCCAUUUGUCUUGUCUACACUUCCUGUCAUGUACAUUCCUCUGGGCAUUUCUCCAAGUCCCUGGCCAUGGCUGGGCUGAUUAGUGUUCACUGUCAGCAUAGAGCUCGGUGGGAGGCUAGGCUGAAAGUAGCCCCUUCCUGGGGUGGCCACGGUGCUUACUGGACUUGUAUUUCCACACUUCUUUUAACAAACUUUUAGUUUGUUAAAAAAAUAUUAAUCAUCAUGUUUGUAAAUUGGUGCUGUGGGUGUGGUAAUUUGUGCUGUGGUGUGCAUUUGGAGGUCAGAGGACAAACUUUGUGGCUUCAUUUCUCCCCUAAACUCUCAUCCCCUACUGAAUCUCUGCCUCCAUAGCACUGGGAUUGCAGAUGUUUACCACCACACCAUUUUUUCUUUUCUUUUUUUCUUUUUUCUUUUCUUUUUUUUUCCGAGACAGGGUUUCUCUGUGUAGCCCUGGCUGUCGGAACUCUGUAGACCAGGCUGGCCUCAUACUCAGAGAUUUACCUUCUUCUGUCUUGGAGUGCUGGGAUUAAAGGCAUCCACAAGUCAAAACCUACUUGUUUUCGUUGGCCAUUCAUUUGUACAUUCAUAUAGACGGUAUUAGCUUUUGUGGUGCUCUGGACUUCCUAAACUGUAUCUGAGGAUACCUUUGUGCAUGUUUGCUCUAAGGGCCAGAGAAGAGAGUCAAUGCUUCACCUGGCAAGGACAGAAGAGCCUAGGGUGACCUCAUAGUCCUCAGAUGCCCCAGGGCAGGCAGGCUGUGCUCACAGCUGCUUCCCAGUCUCUCUGAGACAGCAAAUCAUCUGCCUUAGGUUACAACAGGAGGAAGAUCUGACUGAGGUCCUGGGCCAGCCUCUCCAUGACAGUGGGUGAUCUGCACUGGUGACAGCCAUCAUGACUACUUCUGUAUUAAGGAGUGGUGAUGGUCACUUUUGCCUCUGUCACACAGCAGAGGAGCUUCGUCCCUCUGCACCUGCUUCACGGAUAGACUGUGAACAGCUUACUUUCAACACCACCCCUCUCUAGGCUGCCUUUCCUUGGUGGAAGUGACAGUUUCAGAAUUUUGAUUUUUUUUUUUAAAGAUUUAUUUAUUUAUUAUAUGUAAGUACACUGUAGCUGACUUCAGACACACCAGAAGAGGGCGUCAGAUCUUGUUACAGAUGGUUGUGAGCCACCAUGUGGUUGCUGGGAUUUGAACUCCAGACCUUCCGAAGAGCAGUCGGGUGCUCUUACCCACUGAGCCAUCUCACCAGCCCCCAGAAUUUUGAUUUUUUUAAAAAAAUACAAAUAUUAUAAGAGAGACUCUCUUCUCUGGCCCUUAGACCAGGGAACUUCCUUUGCCUUCCUUAUCCUACACAGCAAACAUGCACAAAUGAAUGGCCAACUAAAACAAGUAGGUUUUGACUUGUGGACGCCUUUAAUCCCAGCACUCCAGGACAGAAGAAGGUAAAUCUCUGAGUAUGAGGCCAGCCUGAUCUACAGAUUUCCGACAGGCGUGGUGGCACACACCUUUAAUUCCAGCACUUGGGAGGCAGAGGCAGGUGGAUUUCUGAGUUUGAGGCCAGCCUGGUCUACCAAGUGAGUUCCAGGUUAGUCAGGGCUACACAGAGAAACCCUGUCUUGAAAAACC